GAUGAACGCUAGCGGGAGGCCUAACACAUGCAAGCCGAGCGGGAUUUGUUGGUUAGCUUGCUAACUAACAAUGAGAGCGGCGUACGGGUGCGUAGCACGUGUGCAACCUGCCUUUAUCUGGGGGAUAGCCUUUCGAAAGGAAGAUUAAUACCCCAUAACAUAUUGAUUGGCAUCAGUUAAUAUUGAAAGCUCCGGCGGAUAGAGAUGGGCACGCGUAAGAUUAGCUAGUUGGUGAGGUAACGGCUCACCAAGGCUGCGAUCUUUAGGGGGCCUGAGAGGGUGAUCCCCCACACUGGUACUGAGACACGGACCAGACUCCUACGGGAGGCAGCAGUGAGGAAUAGUGGACAAUGGGUGAGAGCCUGAUCCAGCCAUCCCGCGUGAAGGACUAAGGACCUAUGGUUUGUAAACUUCUUUUAUACAGGGAUAAACCUACUCUCGUGAGGGUAGCUGAAGGCACUGUAUGAAUAAGCACCGGCUAACUCCGUG
rnacentral:rRNA from 1 species